CUAUCCCGAGUGCCAUCCGCUGAGGAAGGCUUUUACCCAGUCUAGAACGCUGGGGGAAUAAGGAGAGGGCAAGUCUGGUGUCAGCCGCCGCGGUAAUACCAGCUCUCCGAGUGGUGUGGAUGUUUAUUGGGCCUAAAGCAUCCGUAGCUGGCUGAGUUAGUCCCUUGUUAAAUCCACCGAAUUAAUCGUUGGAUUGCGGGGGAUACUGCUCGGCUAGGGGACGAGAGAGGCAGACGGUAUUUCUGGGGUAGGGGUGAAAUCCUAUAAUCCCAGGAGGACCACCAGUGGCGAAGGCUGUCUGCCAGAACGCGCCCGACGGUGAGGGAUGAAAGCUGGGGGAGCGAACCGGAUUAGAUACCCGGGUAGUCCCAGCUGUAAACGAUGCAGACUAGGUGUUUGGACGGCCACGUGCCGUUCUAGUGCCGCAGGGAAGCUGUUAAGUCUGCCGCCUGGGGAGUACGAUCGCAAGAUUGAAACUUAAAGGAAUUGGCGGGGGAGCAC
rnacentral:rRNA from 1 species